rnacentral:rRNA from 1 species
CAGCAGCCGCGGUAACACCGGCGGCCCGAGUGGUGAUCGUGAUUAUUGGGUCUAAAGGGUCCGUAGCCGGUUUGGUCAGUCCUCCGGGAAAUCUGAUAGCUCAACUAUUAGGCUUUCGGGGGAUACUGCCAGACUUGGAACCGGGAGAGGUAAGAGGUACUACAGGGGUAGGAGUGAAAUCUUGUAAUCCCUGUGGGACCACCUGUGGCGAAGGCGUCUUACCAGAACGGGUUCGACGGUGAGGGACGAAAGCUGGGGGCACGAACCGGAUUAGAUACCCGGGUAGUCCCAGCCGUAAACGAUGCUCGCUAGGUGUCAGGCAUGGCGCGACCGUGUCUGGUGCCGCAGGGAAGCCGUGAAGCGAGCCACCUGGGAAGUACGGCCGCAAGGCUGAAACUUAAAGGAAUUGGCGGGGGAGCACAACAACGGGUGGAAGCCUGCGGUUUAAUUGGACUCAACGCCGGACAACUCACCGGGGGCGACAGCAAUAUGUAGGCCAAGCUGAAGACUUUGCCUGAAUCGCUGAGGGGUGGUGCAUGG